UUGUGCCAAGCAGCCGCGGUAAUACCAGCUGAGCUAGAAAUGGGUAACAUUGUUGCAGUAAAAACGUACGUAGUCAUCUUUGUUUUUGUGUCGCAUUUUUAUAAGAGCGACAGACGAGCAUCUCAUUUUGAUUUACUCAAAAUGAUCUCCGCGAAUAAACUAGAACGAUCAACUUGAAUGUUGUAUAUGACAGCGUGGGAAACCUGACGAUACCUAUAGGUUUUGCGCUAAUCUUAAUCUUAGGGAUAAACUGUAGGAAUGAAUGAGGGCAUUAGUAUUUAAUAGCUAGAGGUGAAAUUCCUAGAUUUAUUAACGACUGACUACUGCGAAAGCAUCUGUCUAAUUCAUUUUUGGUGAUCAAGUACUAAAGAGUGGGGAUCGAAGAGGAUUAGAUACCCUCGUAGUCCACUCCCUAAACGAUGCCAACUAGUGGUUGGUGCAUGUCACGAACUUUAUCAGAACCUUAGCAGAUAUGAAAGUCUUUGGGCUCUGGGGGGAGUACGGUCGCAAGGGCGAAACUUAAAGGAAUUGACGGAACGGCACCACCAGGGGUGGAGCGUGCGGCUUAAUUUGACUCAACGCGGGAAACCUUACUAGUGUAAGACAUUGGUAUGAUUGACAGAUUACUUGAUCUUUCUUGAUUUGGUGGGUGGUGGUGCAUGGCCGAUCUUAGUUGGUGGGGUGACCCGUCUGGUUAAUUUCGAUAACGAACGAGAUCCGAGCUGUCUAGUUGGCUGCUGUCGAUUUUCGGCUUCAUGUCUCCUAUAUGGACUGUCAGUUUGAGGCUGAAGGAAGUUUCGGGCUAAAUCAGGUCUGUGAUGC
rnacentral:rRNA from 1 species